CAUUUGUUCAUCAACCGUCAAAAUGGCAACUAUGUUUUAUCACGUUUUUACCAAUCCCGAAUUUCGAGCAGCUGCUCAAUUUGAACACGAGAUAAAGGAGCAUGCAAUAUGCAAAUCCGACGUAAGAUUAGAUGGUAAAGUUGCUCUUGUUACUGGAGGAACUUCUGGAAUAGGGAAAGAAUGUGUAAGAGAGUUCGUGCGAAGGGGCGCAAAAGUUAUUUUACCUUGUAGAUACAGACCGAAAGGUAAAGCUGCGAAAGAAGAAAUUGAAAACGAUACUGGCAAGUUCGGUCAAGUAAUUCUUAUGGAUUUGGAUUUAUCGUCGAUGAAAAGUGUACGAAAAUUUGCUGAUCAAUUUAACAAACAGGAGAGUAGGCUAGAUAUCUUAAUAAAUAAUGGCGGCAUAAUGAAAGCAUUGAACACUCAUACAAGUGAAGGUUUUGAAACUAUUAUUGCAACAAAUUAUCUUGGUCACUUUCUUCUCACGCACCUAUUAAUGGAUCUAUUGAAGAAAAGUGCUCCAAGUAGAAUAAUAAACGUUUCUUCUUCGGCUCACUUUUCUGGAACAGAUAUGAUGUUUAAAGAUUUUCAUAUCAAAUCAGGUUGUUUUGGACCUUCGAAUUUUUAUCUCUAUUGCAGAAGCAAAGCGGCUAACGUUAUGCACGCAAGACAAUUGCAAGAACUUUACGGAAGUACUAUAUUUCUUUCAUUAAUAAAACUUCAUGAUCAUUGCUGCUCAUUUAAACAAUUAUUUCCAUAGACUUAGGCGUAACAGCGUAUAGUUGCCAUCCAGGUACAGUCCAUACAGAAAUUACGCGAUACUAUACAUUUCUUAAUGACUUUUCAAGCUACAUUCUCUUUAAGGUAAUUUUAUAAAGAUGACAUACCGUUUAAUCUCUUAAUACUAUCAUAAUUCUAAUUUUCUUUUUAAAUUAGUAGAUAUGGUAAAAGUACUGUUAUAGUAUUUAACAUACUAACUAUCAGUGUUAUAUAGCACUAUUGUUUUAUCCGUUAGCAUGACUAAGCUCUUUGAAGAGCUAAAUAUAUAAAAAGUUUAGAUAGAUAAUUAACUUGUAACAUUUCAAUUCAAUUUUUAAAAUAUAUAAUUUAUCUUUUUUAAACAGACUCUUGAUUGUUGGAAUCCAAUGGUGCAAAUUGGUAAAACACCUAAACAAGGCUCUCAAACUCCUCUAUAUUGUAGCUUGCAAAGAGGCUUAGAAUCGAAAGCAGGCAGAUAUUUUGUAGAAUGCGAGGAGUACGAGAUGUCAAAAUUGUGUAAUGAUGACAAAGCUUGCAAAGUCUUAUGGGAUUUCACCAAAAAAGAACUUGGAAUCGAAUAAGUCAGUGCACCCUUCAUGAACUGAUACAUUUUUUUUUCUUUGCAAUGAUCGUACUUGCUGAUCUAAUAAGAAGAUACUUUAUCAUUUUUAUAUCAUUCUAAGACAUUAUAGUCAUAUAACAAAAUUAUCGAACUAAUUCGUUGCGUAGAGGUUUCUAUUGAUGAAUAAACACUAUUAGUUUAGAAAUAAAUGCAUGACUGGCUCCGCAAG
rnacentral:misc_RNA from 1 species